rnacentral:rRNA from 1 species
UGGGACCUGGUGCUAUAAGUCUUCUGGAAAGGAGCGCCCAUGGAGGGUGAUAGCCCCGUGAAGCACUAACCCCCAUUGUAGGAUCUUGGCAUGGAGUCGAGUUGUUUGGGAAUGCAGCUCAAAUGGGUGGUAUGCUCCAUCUAAAGCUAAAUAUCUGCCGAGAGACCGAUAGCGAACAAGUACUGUGAAGGACAAGAUGAAAAGAACUUUGAAAAGACAGUGAAAUAGUACGUGAAAUUGUUGAAAUGGAAGGAUAGGCCGCUAACCAUGCAGAAAUCGUGUUUAGGGGGAGGACAAAAGCUGUAUAUUUCAUCUUCUU